CCUACGGGAGGCAGCAGUGGGGAAUUUUGGACAAUGGGCGCAAGCCUGAUCCAGCAAUGCCGCGUGCAGGAUGAAGGCCUUCGGGUUGUAAACUGCUUUUGUACGGAACGAAACGGUGAGCUCUAAUACAGUUUGCUAAUGACGGUACCGUAAGAAUAAGCACCGGCUAACUACGUGCCAGCAGCCGCGGUAAUACGUAGGGUGCGAGCGUUAAUCGGAAUUACUGGGCGUAAAGCGUGCGCAGGCGGUGAUGUAAGACAGAUGUGAAAUCCCCGGGCUCAACCUGGGACCUGCAUUUGUGACUGCAUCGCUAGAGUACGGUAGAGGGGGAUGGAAUUCCGCGUGUAGCAGUGAAAUGCGUAGAUAUGCGGAGGAACACCGAUGGCGAAGGCAAUCCCCUGGACCUGUACUGACGCUCAUGCACGAAAGCGUGGGGAGCAAACAGGAUUAGAUACCCUGGUAGUCCACGCCCUAAACGAUGUCAACUGGUUGUUGGGUCUUCACUGACUCAGUAACGAAGCUAACGCGUGAAGUUGACCGCCUGGGGAGUACGGCCGCAAGGUUGAAACUUAAAGGAAUUGACGGCUGAGACGAGCGAGGCGACGACGAGGGGAGGAGGG
rnacentral:rRNA from 1 species